CCAGCCUCGAGGGAGAAAUCGUUGCGCUCUUCGCCGCGCCCCGCGCCGCCAGCCCCUCCCGUUUCCCACGGAUGGGACCUUCCGCAGGGCGCCGAAUGGAGCUCUGGAAGGGACCACUUGGAAGAUUAAUGAUGAAGGUCUGUGAUGAGAAGCAUAACCCACUGAAGGCACUCCUACCAAACUGCAUGUUUCUACUACUCGUUUCCACCCACUGCACUGUGCUGCGCUUGUAGUCACACCGGCACAACUGCUUGUUGGACAAUACAUCGAACCAGCUCAGGGAAUUGAUUCAGCUGCAGUGUAAACCCACAGAAAAUCUGUGUUUCUUUCUUCUCAGAUGAUUCAAUUAAGCUGGCUUUGCUACUGAAACAAACCUACAUAAAAGCUUGGUCUUCCUGUGGUGGUGCAAGAUAUUACUGUUUUAGAUGACUGCCAAAGAUCACCACCUCUACACCAGAAUGAGCAAAAUGGCAUGUUACCAUCCUCAGCCCAAUUCCGUGUCCAUCAACUCAUCAUCUUCCUAAAUGGAAACAAGUUUUGAGCUACAGUGUAGGAUGCUGAACUGUAGCUGCUGAUGCAUGGACACACAUUUUCUUCUGCAUCUGCUAUAGAAGCAGUCAUCUCUGGUAGAGGAGCGGGUUGGAAAAUUGAGAGGGUUAGCAUUCUCACAUGAUAUGCUGCAGACUUCAGCCUUUUAUAAAAGCAUUAUUUUUUAGCAGUUGAUGUUCAUAGAGCCUAACGUAACAGCAGACAUAAGGACACAUCAAAGAAUGGGGAAAGGGCAUCAGUUCUUCUGUGCUGAGAGUUACUGAAGCCUAAGCAUCCCACACAAACACAUCAACUGUCAGACCUCAGUCUCCUCUCCGUGUCCUUUGCACCAGCCUCCAUAAGGAAGCUAAUCAAUCAGCCCUGAAGAGCCACAAAGAUGGCUGCUUUAAUUCCUCUUUUCCUUCUCCUUUUCCUCCUCCAAACCUUCUCCUUCUCCCCUACCAAAAAGCAGCAUUAAACGGAAAUUCAGAAACAAGGUAGAUAGACAGAUAGGGCACAGAGAUCACCAAGGAUAACUGUGACUUGGAUCAUCAUGUAACCUUUUUCAUGCUACCUUGCUUGAAUGCCAUCUGCUUCAGGAAGGUUGCUUAGUUUGCUCAGCAGUUAUCCUGGCAAACCUGCUCCCAGUGCCAGAUGGCAUGUAGCUUUAGAAAAGUGAUACUUGGGACUAAGCAACCCAUUGAUGAAGUCUUGAAUGUAGUAUGGUUUUCUUCACUCCGCUCAUUUAUUCACACAAUAUGAGUUACAGGGGACUUGAUUAGGGGAGAAGGAAAGAUCAUGAUUUAUUGUAUUUGAAUCUGAUGUCAUUAUUGCCUCACAUUGAAAGGAUCCAGUUAUCAGUCUGGCCUGAUUUGUAAUCUAUCACUACGUUAUAAUAAACUUCUGUAGACUAGCAAGUGCAACUGAGUUUUCAUUUGGAUUAACUGAUAAGAAUGUAUAAUCUCAGAAGAAAAAAAGAGCCCCCCAGACUAGGCAUGUGUUGCUAACCAAAACAAAGGCAUAUAUGAAACAAAAAAAAUAGAAAUAGCUGGGUGGAGAACUUUGCCUAGCAUUGUUUGCAUAUGCAUGUGUACCUGUGAGAGCUGCCAGUCCUGAGCACAAACCCAAUAGCACCAGUUUUAUCUCCCGCAGCCCUGCAGAUGUUGCAUGAGGCUGUCUCAUUUUGGCUGUGAACGCAGAAACCUGAACUUUCAGCAGCAAAAGCAGUGCUUUAACCAAGACUUUUGAUCUGAAACUCAAACUGUCUGGGUUAAACCCAGACAUCUGACCAAUCUAGCAUGUGUGCAUGAGUGUGUAUUUGUGUAGCUGUAGGGGCGAGGUGGAAAAAGCAAGAGAGACGCAGGGCCAAUUACUCACCCUAUAGACAGAACAGGAAGUUGGAACCCAAAUCUGUAAAAGAAAGUUGUGGUUGUGUCUUAACAAUGCACACAAGCAUGGUCCUUGGAGAAAAGCAAGUAGAUAGAUCACUGGCAGGUUCUCUGCUAUUAAUCUCGUUUUGCCUUGCCACGCACUACUCCAGCUGCUGCAGGAAAGGAAGACAGCCAGUUUUUUCUGUGCAAAGGUGGCCUCUCACGUUCCCGCAAGAUGCAGAAAUGUCUUUACCAUUGAAGACAGUACAACUUGGGACAGGGACCCAGGACAUGACAGAGCUGGAGUGUGGAGCAUAAAAGCCAGGAAGCUGUUGAACAGCUCAAGGAUACACAUAAAAACUAAGUCCAAAUGAAACAUUUGUCUUUGAUCUGACAAACUGAAAUGCAACGUUUCCACAAAUGUAAAAAUGUUUCAUGCUGGCUGAAAAUAGCUAAAUGAAACAUUCAGGAGUAUCAGCAUCAAGUACUUUUUGAAUACUCUGACACUCAAAACAUUUUGGCAUUUAGUCACUUUUGUUUCCAAAGAGGAUAAAAACAGUGUAUCAUGUUUUCUGGCUGAUCUUCAGUUACAAUUUGGCCACUUAGAUCAUAAGUAACAAGCUAACAAAAACAGCAGUCCUCAUGGAUAUUCAAAGUACUAAUGUUGAACACAUGAGUAUUUUGUCCACAUGACAGACAAUAAAUCUGAAGAAGAUACAUACUAUCCUUUGUAUACAACAAACAGAUUGAAUUUCUGAUUUAAACCUGAAGCUAAUCUCAUUUUAAAUGAGUCAUAAAGACCUGAUCAAUGUCAGUAUAAUAAGUUCCAUUCAUAUUAAUUAAGUGCCACGUGAUUGCUGGAUUUCUUGACAUUUUCCUCUAUUACUCUGUUAGGCAAUGACAGACUCCUUUUUCUAUAUUUACCACCGAAAAUACUACUCCUACAAUGUAAUUUUACCUGCCUUGCUUCGUUUUUAUUUAUUUACUUACCAUCUUCUGGGAUUCUUUGCACAAUAUUGCUAAAACACUUUAAUUGUGACAUUUCUUAUACAGUUAAUAAAUAUUUUAGAUCGUAAUUAUUGAGUUUCAUAAUCAGUGCAUAAUUUAGAUUCCUCUCUAGCUGUAACAUACACACACACACCCCCCAUAUGCACACAGUUUCCUUACAUAGAAGAAACUUUGUUCUUGCUGCUGUACUUACUGUAGCAGCAUUCAGAUUUAAAGUGGUUUUUAGGUACUGCUAACAUGCAAUUGAAACAAAAAUAAGUGUGUACGUUAUGGUCAUCAACAUAAUCCUCUACCACAACCAGUUCUAAAAAGAAAACAGCAGCGAAAUAAUGUCCACACUUAAAAUUUUUCUAUUUAACUUUUUACAUUUUUCAUUUAAUUAAAUAUAUUCUCUCUUGAUUGAGGUAUUUUUUAAUUAUUUUUGUGAAUGUUGAAAAAAGGGGGGGGCAUCCGAAUACAAUGAAUAUUUUCUGCAAGAUUUUAACGGUAUUAAAAUCAACGGCAUACAGGCCCCAGAUUAAUUGCUGUGUGUCCUUUCAAUAGCUAUUUUUUGAUGGUUUAAUUGUAAAUCACUGAAAGGCCUGAUGCUUUAUUUAUACAUGUCACAAUGUAGGAAUAUUGAUUUCAGUAGGAUACCUACAUCGCACUACUGGACAUAAGAUCAGGAAAAUCAGGAGCCAUUUUCCAUCUGUAUUUUUUGACCUUAUUAAAAUUGGAUGUAUGAUUCCUGAAGCAGGAAUAUUUCUACCUUGCAACUACGCUGUACAUUUGACAAUGUGACACAGGCCUGGUGUGCUGCCGGCCAGCAGCCAGCUGCAGCACUACAGUGGGCUGCUCUGGAGGAACCUCAUUUGCCUCCUUGUGACAAAGCUUUCACUGAGGGUAUUCCCCAGGCACGGCUGCGCCACAUCUGAAAUGGAAAUACCAGCAGCAGAAGGUAAGUCUGCGCACAGGGCAUGCUAGUUAUUUGUGCUUUCAAAUCUUUGCCUGCAAGUAUCAGAAAAAGCAUCAUUAAAAAACCCGGCAUGUUUAAAAGACACAGGGAAGGAAUCUGGAUUUUCUGUUGGGAGGUAGUAAUUCAAAAAAUUAUUUUGAAAACAGGUAAUUGAACAACAAUCAAGUUUGCAGUAUCAAACAAAACCAAACAAAAAUUAUUAGUACUAAAAUCUUGCAUCAAUGAAUCUGAAACGUAAAAACUGAAUGAGCUUCACAUCAUUUAUUGUUUAGUUUUGUGUAUCAGCCUCAAGAACAAAAGAAUCUGUUCGUUACCAGUUCUUAUCCAUUAGUAUAGCAAUAUUUGUAUUAUCCUUAAACAAACCCAGGCUAUUAAUCAAUACAAAUUAAAAUAUUUCCACUUCUCUAAAACAUAUCUUUACUGAAAAUAAAACUAAAAGCAAUCAGGCAAAAUGUGAGCCAGAAUGAUUAAAUGUUGGUUUUUUUACCUGGCAUUAGCAUUCUCUGGAUGUACAUACUAUUCCAUUUUAUUCUGAAAAUCCUAUUAAAAUAAUAAUAACAAGGACUGAGACUGCUGCUCCUGAUGCAUUAGAUAUGCCGGUGAAACGGUUUCCUAAGAGUUGCUCCUGUGAAAUGCCUGCUGUAAGGACCAUUAGUAGUCAUAAUGGCCAGUUCAGUUUCUUGACUAUUUUAGAUUUUAAAAAAAUAAUAUUUUUUAUCGUCUCUUAAGGAAAAUAGUGAGCUUUA